AAUAUUGCACAAUGGAGGGAACUCUGAUGAAGCAACGCCGCGUGAGUGAAGAAGGUGUUCGGAUCGUAGAACACUGUCAUAGGGGAAGAAUAAAUGACGGUACUCAAUAAGGAAGCUCCGGCUAACUAAGUGCCAGCAGCCGCGGUAAUACAGAGGGUGCGAGCGUUGGCCGGAAUUACUGGGCGUAAAGGGUACGUAGGCGGCUAUAUAAGUCAAAUGUGAAAUACCCGUGCUUAACACGGGAAUUGCAUUUGAAACUGGGUAGCUUGAGUACAGGAGAGGAAAGUAGAAUUCCUAGUGUAGCGGUGAAAUGCGUAGAGAUUAGGAGGAACACCGAUGGCGAAGGCAACUUUCUGGACUGUAACUGACACUGAGGUACGAAAGCGUGGGUAGCGAACA
rnacentral:rRNA from 1 species